AUUACAUGAUGGGGACACUUCCUUAACAACUCCUUGAAGCACUCCCAUGCAUCAUACAACAACUCCCCGUCAUUCUAGUGUAAGUUAUUAAUUUCCCAUCUCAACAAU